rnacentral:tRNA from 1 species
AUUGAAGUGGCUGAAAUAAUUAAAGCAAUAAAUUGUAAAUUUAUAUAUGAAUAAACAUUCCUUCAAUA